GGAUCCAGACUUUGAUUAUGGCUCAGGAUGAACGCUAGCUACAGGCUUAACACAUGCAAGUCGAGGGGAAACGACAUCGAAAGCUUGCUUUUGAUGGGCGUCGACCGGCGCACGGGUGAGUAACGCGUAUCCAACCUGCCCACCACUUGGGGAUAACCUUGCGAAAGUAAGACUAAUACCCAAUGACGUCUCUAGAAGACAUCUGAAGGAGAUUAAAGAUUUAUCGGUGAUGGAUGGGGAUGCGUCUGAUUAGCUUGUUGGCGGGGUAACGGCCCACCAAGGCGACGAUCAGUAGGGGUUCUGAGAGGAAGGUCCCCCACAUUGGAACUGAGACACGGUCCAAACUCCUACGGGAGGCAGCAGUGAGGAAUAUUGGUCAAUGGACGAGAGUCUGAACCAGCCAAGUAGCGUGCAGGAUGACGGCCCUAUGGGUUGUAAACUGCUUUUAUAAGGGAAUAAAGUGAGUCUCGUGAGACUUUUUGCAUGUACCUUAUGAAUAAGGACCGGCUAAUUCCGUGCCAGCAGCCGCGGUAAUACGGAAGGUCCGGGCGUUAUCCGGAUUUAUUGGGUUUAAAGGGAGCGUAGGCCGGAGAUUAAGCGUGUUGUGAAAUGUAGACGCUCAACGUCUGCACUGCAGCGCGAACUGGUUUCCUUGAGUACGCACAAAGUGGGCGGAAUUCGUGGUGUAGCGGUGAAAUGCUUAGAUAUCACGAAGAACUCCGAUUGCGAAGGCAGCUCACUGGAGCGCAACUGACGCUGAAGCUCGAAAGUGCGGGUAUCGAACAGGAUUAGAUACCCUGGUAGUCCGCACGGUAAACGAUGGAUGCCCGCUGUUGGUCUGAAUAGGUCAGCGGCCAAGCGAAAGCAUUAAGCAUCCCACCUGGGGAGUACGCCGGCAACGGUGCAACUCAAAUGAAUUGACGG
rnacentral:rRNA from 2 species